GAUCCUGGCUCAGGAUGAACGCUAGCUACGGGCUUAACACAUGCAAGUCGAGGGGAAACGAUAUUGGAAGCUUGCUUCCAAUAGGCGUCGACCGGCGCACGGGUGAGUAACGCGUAUCCAACCUGCCCACCACUUGGGGGAUAACCUUGCGAAAGUAAGACUAAUACCCAAUGACGUCUCUAGAAGACAUCUGAAGGAGAUUAAAGAUUUAUCGGUGAUGGAUGGGGAUGCGUCUGAUUAG
rnacentral:rRNA from 1 species